UAAUUCUCUUCUUGAUAUUAUUUAUUUCUUGAAAAAAAAUAAAAAAGUCUCUUUCCCACAUAAAAUCUUCUUAAAUGAUCCUGCAGAGACUGCCCUAACCUCUCCUUUACCUUGUUUGAGAAAGCAGAUUCUUUCCGGUAAGCUCACUUCUUGCCUUGACAGGAACUCUGCUGCUAGGCAGAUUCUAAGAUUUGGAAAUGGCUUACCUUGUUAAUUUGAUCUCUGUCAGGGAUCUGGUUGGCACAGGAUCAGAAAGAUAAUUUGCUGUCCUGGGUGUGUAACAGCAUCAUCUCCUCCAAUUGGGCCCUACCCCAGUGUCCUGGACCUUAGAUUCUUUCUUCCCCUUUGGUAGCGUUGGGAAUUGAACUCAUAACCUCACAAAUGCUAGGCUAGAUUUCUACCACUGAGUCAGAUUCCAGCCCUCCUGAUUUGCCUUCUCAUUCACAGAUCUUUGAUCUUAAUUUUGGAGAAAAAACAUUUAUAAGGAAAAACACUAACAGCAUUUCAUUGCAAAAAAGAAACUUGAAAUCCCCCUUUCCCCCACAUAGUUAUUGUGAGACGUAAAACGAGGAAGUGAUGACUCAGAGGUCAUUUAUCUUAGCACAUUUGUGUGUCAUAUGUGGUAGGCUUACCGAGGCACUGCGGCAGGCAUUCUGGUGAUAGGAUAGAACAGAGGCUGCUGUGACCCUUUGGGAUAACCACAAAGACAUGAAAUCCCUGGGGUACAGGCAGUCAAGACUUGGAGGUUUAGCGAACUCUGUGUGUGUGUGUGUGCGCGCAUGCAUGCAUGUGUGUAUUUUGUGUAAGAAAUGGUACUUCGACAGGAAUUGAAGAUUGGGUAAAUGAUAACUGGGCUGUGAGGUGGAACUCAAAUGGUACCAGGGAAGGAUUUGUUUCUUUGGCUGUAGAGAAGACUUGGAACUUCUUGAAUUGGGAAGAUAAAAGAUGA
rnacentral:lncRNA from 1 species